ACUCAGACUUCGCAUAUGGAAGAAACUAACAGAGAAUAUUGGUUGGUUCCACAGGCUAUUAUUAGCCAUGAUCACCACAGAGGCUGACGUUUUACCUUACGUUAACAGGAUGUGCAAAGGGGGUUUCAAUUACGUUUGGCACAGCACUUAAGAGCUAACAGGCUGCAGAGGCUGUGUUAGCUAGCUACAUUACUUGCAAGAAAGUAAAAUAAGAAUACAACAUACUUUUGAAAAAAGCGGGAAUACAGAGAUGAGUAAAAGGAAAGCGCCACAGGAAUCCCCAAACAAGGGAAUAACAGACUUUCUUACAGAAGUGCUGGGUUUACAGUAGGGCUGCCUAAUUGCCCUCCUAAGAAAAGUAUCUGACUGAAGUUCUCCCUGCCGGUCUGUAUCAUCGAUGCUCCUUCUGCUCAAGCUACUGCUACUGACUGCCUUUCCCAAAUGCCUCUACAUCUGAAGCUGUGAAAGACCAUCAACCAUGAACUGCCAGAUCCCUACAUUUGUUUUCAAAGCAAAUAAGAUUAUUGUUUGUAAUGUAAAGCGCUAGAUACAAUAAAUGUAUUAUUAUUAUACAUUCAGUAGUAGGCCAUUGGUAGUCAAGCACUAAAAAAUGCAACCUGCUUAGUGUCACAGGAGAAAUAAAUCACUUCAUUUUACAAA